rnacentral:rRNA from 1 species
AACGAACGCUGGCGGCAGGCCUAACACAUGCAAGUCGAGCGGACCCUUCGGGGUUAGCGGCGGACGGGUGAGUAACGCGUGGGAAUAUGCCCUUCUCUACGGAAUAGUCCUGGGAAACUGGGGGUAAUACCGUAUACGCCCUUUGGGGGAAAGAUUUAUCGGGGAAGGAUUAGCCCGCGUUGGAUUAGGUAGUUGGUGGGGUAAUGGCCUACCAAGCCGACGAUCCAUAGCUGGUUUGAGAGGAUGAUCAGCCACACUGGGACUGAGACACGGCCCAGACUCCUACGGGAGGCAGCAGUGGGGAAUCUUAGACAAUGGGGGCAACCCUGAUCUAGCCAUGCCGCGUGAGUUAUGAAGGCCUUAGGGUUGUAAAGCUCUUUCAGCUGGGAAGAUAAUGACGGUACCAGCAGAAGAAGCCCCGGCUAACUCCGUG